rnacentral:rRNA from 1 species
CCUACGGGGAGCAGCAGUGAGGAAUAUGGGUCAAUGGACGAGAGUCGGAACCAGCAAAGUAGCGUGAAGGAUGACUGCCCUAUGGGUUGUAAACUUCUUUUAUAGGGGAAUAAAACAGGGUAUGCAUACCCUCUUGUAUGUACCAUAUGAAUAAGGAUCGGCUAACUCCGUGCCAGCAGCCGCGGUAAUACGGAGGAUCCGAGCGUUAUCCGGAUUUAUUGGGUUUAAAGGGUGCGUAGGUGGGUUGUUAAGUCAGUUGUGAAAGUUUGCGGCUCAACCGUAAAAUUGAAGUUGAAACUGGCAGUCUGGAGUACAGUAGAGGUAGGCGGAAUUCGUGGUGUAGCGGUGAAAUGCUUAGAUAUCACGAAGAACUCCGAUUGCGAAGGCAGCUCACUGGACUGCAACUGACACUGAUGCACGAAAGUGUGGGUAUCAAACAGGAUUAGAUACCCGUGUAGUC